rnacentral:rRNA from 1 species
GACGAACGCUGGCGGCGUGCCUAAUACAUGCAAGUAGAACGCUGAAGGAGGAGCCUGCUUCUCCGGAUGAGUUGCGAACGGGUGAGUAACGCGUAGGUAACCUGCCUGGUAGCGGGGGAUAACUAUUGGAAACGAUAGCUAAUACCGCAUAAGAGUAGAUGUCGCAUGACAUUUGCUUAAAAGGUGCAACUGCACCACUACCAGAUGGACCUGCGUUGUAUUAGCUAGUUGGUGAGGUAACGGCUCACCAAGGCAACGAUACAUAGCCGACCUGAGAGGGUGAUCGGCCACACUGGGACUGAGACACGGCCCAGACUCCUACGGGAGGCAGCAGUAGGGAAUCUUCGGCAAUGGACGGAAGUCUGACCGAGCAACGCCGCGUGAGUGAAGAAGGUUUUCGGAUCGUAAAGCUCUGUUGUAAGAGAAGAACGAGUGUGAGAGUGGAAAGUUCACACUGUGACGGUAUCUUACCAGAAAGGGACGGCUAACUACGUG